AACGAACGCUGGCGGCAUGCCUAACACAUGCAAGUCGAACGAGACCUUCGGGUCUAGUGGCGCACGGGUGCGUAACGCGUGGGAACCUGCACUUAGGUUCGGAAUAACUCAGAGAAAUUUGAGCUAAUACCGGAUGAUGUCUUCGGACCAAAGAUUUAUCGCCUUUAGAUGGGCCCGCGUUGGAUUAGCUAGUUGGUGGGGUAAAGGCCUACCAAGGCGACGAUCCAUAGCUGGUUUGAGAGGAUGAUCAGCCACACUGGGACUGAGACACGGCCCAGACUCCUACGGGAGGCAGCAGAGGGGAAUAUAGGACAAUGGGCGAAAGCCUGAUCCAGCAAUGCCGCGUGAGUGAUGAAGGCCUUAGGGUUGUAAAGCUCUUUUACCCGAGAUGAUAAUGACAGUAUCGGGAGAAUAAGCUCCGGCUAACUCCGUG
rnacentral:rRNA from 1 species